AUGCUGGGGUCUGUCACACUUAUUCUUGCCACCCUGCUCCCUGCUGGACAGAUGGUGCUAUACCUGGACCAGCCCAUGGUCACCAUUACCAGAAAGACCAGGAGUGUUGCAACGUUUAUUUGUGAGUUUUCUGACAAAAACAUCAAGUACAUCCACUGGUAUCGCCAGCAACAAGGGAGGGCUCCCCAGCGCCUACUCUACUAUAACCUGGUCAACUCUCAACCCAACCUGGAUACAGGAUUCAACUCUAACAAAAUCCAUGCCUACAAGAUUAAUGAUCGAAGCUGUACCCUGAAAGUGCAAAACCUGGACGUGAAUGAUGCCGGCACCUAUUACUGUGCCAGCUGGGACUCCACGGUGACACAGUUUCUUCCACCUCCAAACAAAAAACUGCUGUCUGUGGUCACCAGGGGCAGGCUCUCCACCAUGGCCAACAAGCAUUCAGCCAUGAUGUGA